CACGUAGGGCGCAAGCGUUGUCCGGAAUUAUUGGGCGUAAAGAGCUCGUAGGCGGUCUGUUGCGUCCGCUGUGAAAACUCGGGGCUUAACCCCGAGCCUGCAGUGGAUACGGGCAGACUGGAGGUAGGUAGGGGAGAAUGGAAUUCCCGGUGUAGCGGUGAAAUGCGCAGAUAUCGGGAGGAACACCGGUGGCGAAGGCGGUUCUCUGGGCCGUACCUGACGCUGAGGAGCGAAAGCGUGGGGAGCGAACAGG
rnacentral:rRNA from 1 species